GACGAACGCUGGCGGCGUGCUUAACACAUGCUAGUCGAACGAAGUGGCGAACGGGUGAGUAAAGAGUCAGAAACCUGCCCUUCAGAGGGGGACAACAGUUGGAAACGACUGCUAAUACCGCAUACUGAAGGAGGGGAUUGCGUCUGAUUAGCUAGUUGGGGGGGUAACGGCCCACCAGGGCGAUGAUCAGUAGCCGGUCUGAGAGGAUGAACGGUCACAUUGGGACUGAGACACGGCCCAGACUCCUACGGGAGGCAGCAGGGGGGAAUCUUCCGCAAUGGACGAAAGUCUGACGGAGCAACGCCGCGUGAUGGAUGACGGCCUUCGGGUUGUAAAGCUCUGUUAAUCGGGACGCGGUACCGGAAUAGAAAGCCACGGCUAACUACGUGCCAGCAGCCGCGGUAAUAC
rnacentral:rRNA from 1 species